rnacentral:rRNA from 1 species
UGCGUAGGCGGUUUCGUGUGUCAGAUGUGAAAGCCCACUGUUCAUCGGUGGAAUUGCAUUUGAAACUACGGGGCUAGAGGUCAGGAGAGGGUGGUGGAAUUCUUGGUGUAGCGGUGAAAUGCGUAGAUAUCAAGAGGAACACCGGUUGCGAAGGCGGCCACCUGGAAUGAUUCUGACGCUGAGGCACGAAAGCUAGGGGAGCAAACA